UAUCUUCAGGGCGGGGUGCAAUUCCCCACCGGCGGUAUAGUCCGCGAGCGCCUUGGCGCAGAACCGGUUGGAUUCCGGUACCGACAGUAUAGUCUGGAUGGAAGAAGAU
rnacentral:ncRNA from 1 species